GAUGAACGCUGGCGGCGUGCCUAAUACAUGCAAGUCGAGCGAACGGACGAGAAGCUUGCUUUUCUGAUGUUAGCGGCGGACGGGUGAGUAACACGUGGAUAACCUACCUAUAAGACUGGGAUAACUUCGGGAAACCGGAGCUAAUAACGGAUAAUAUUUUGAACCGCAUGGUUCAAAAGUGAAAGACGGUCUUGCUGUCACUUAUAGAUGGAUCCGCGCUGCAUUAGCUAGUUGGUAAGGUAACGGCUUACCAAGGCAACGAUGCAUAGCCGACCUGAGAGGGUGAUCGGCCACACUGGAACUGAGACACGGUCCAGACUCCUACGGGAGGCAGCAGUAGGGAAUCUUCCGCAAUGGGCGAAAGCCUGACGGAGCAACGCCGCGUGAGUGAUGAAGGUCUUCGGAUCGUAAAACUCUGUUAUUAGGGAAGAACAGAUGUGUAAGUAACUGUGCACAUCUUGACGGUACCUAAUCAGAAAGCCACGGCUAACUACGUG
rnacentral:rRNA from 1 species